GACGAACGCUGGCGGCGCGCCUAACACAUGCAAGUCGAACGGAGUCAAGAGGAGCUUGCUUUUCUUGACUUAGUGGCGCACGGGUGAGUAACGCGUGAGUAACCUGCCCUGGAGUGGGGGACAACAGUUGGAAACGACUGCUAAUACCGCAUAAGCCCACGGAUCUGCAUGGAUCUGCGGGAAAAGGAUUUAUUCGCUCUAGGAUGGACUCGCGUCCAAUUAGCUAGUUGGUGAGGUAACGGCCCACCAAGGCGACGAUUGGUAGCCGGACUGAGAGGUUGAACGGCCACAUUGGGACUGAGACACGGCCCAGACUCGUACGGGAGGCAGCAGUGGGGGAUAUUGCACAAUGGGGGAAAACCUGAUGCAGCGACGCCGCGUGGAGGAAGAAGGUGUUCGGAUUGUAAACUCCUGUCGUUAGGGACGAUAAUGACGGUACCUAACAAGAAAGCACCGGCUAACUACGUG
rnacentral:rRNA from 1 species